ensembl:lncRNA
UGCUCUCUCUUUCUACUAUGAUUUCCUCUUGAUCACUCUCCCUCUAGGACUGGGCGGCAAUGAAGUGGCUACAGACAUUUUUGGAAUCCUACCAAAGGGAGGUUGAGUUGGGGGGACGUUUAGUUUGUGUUUAGUGGGAUCGAUUUACAUGGUUUGUAGUUAUUUGCAUGUAUAAUUCAGUUACUGCCAGCCAUCUGGCAUAGGAAUGACUUCCCGAAAUUCUUCUACCACCCACUGUGGCAAUUCACCUAGAAUUGUGACAUGAGCUCUCUCUACUUUAGCCUCAGCUCUUACGUAGGUCCUCCAGUCCUGCUGGGAGUUACUGGGCCUCCAUUAAUACAGCGAAUUGUUUGAUCCCAUUUAGCUCCUGCUCCCUGUUUAUCUUUACUGAUUAUAGUUUGCAGUGGUGGAAGGGUAAAUGAUUGGGACCUCAAAUCUCUAACACACAAAUCACUAAGGUCGCUUUUGACUGAUAUUUUAAUUGCACUAUAUUAAAAUGUGUUCAGGGAUGAAGCAGAGUGAAAAAGUAAGCUGCAAAUAAGGGAGUACUUGGGGUGUUUGCAUCAUUUUGAACUUGUGUGCACAACCAAAGGUGGUUAGCCUAGUUCCUCAUUCUGGGCCCAGGGUGAGAUGACCUGACCCCCAAGUUCUUCCAUCAGACUGAGACUGCAUUUGACUUGUCCAGCCACAGUCAUUUACUACCCCACUGUAUCUGUAAGUACGCUGAAUGUGUGUGGGUUCUCACUCCAGCCACCAUGGGAAGUAAGGCUGCUUCCUAAGGCCCUUGUUCUUCCUGUAUUUCCUGCCUCUUGACUCUUACUGAACUCCUAGACCCCUUCAAAACCCAGCUCAGAUACAAACUCCUUUAAGAAGGCUUUCCUUAUUCCCCAAAGAUGUAAUUAAUCUUUUCUCUCUCUGUGCUACUUUCAUAUGUUACAUAUUCUAUAUAUUAUAAAGCUAAUACUGACAAAGUACUUUCUAUGUGUCAUGCAGUGUUCUAAGUGCUUAACAUAUAUCAACUCAUUUAAUUUUCAUCACAAUUCUAUGAGGAAGAUACUCUCAAUAAUCCUACUUUGCAGAUGAGGAAACUGAGAAGGUAAGCGGCUUGCUCUAAGUCACAGGCUUUGAAUCCACGUAGCUCUUAAAACACUCUGCCAUGCAUUUCUACUGCAGCACUUAAUGCACUAUUUUGCCAUUUAUUUGUUUCCAAGUCCUUUUCAAUACUGUGAGCUCCUGAAAGCAAGGACCUGUCUUAUUUGCUCAUCUCUGUAUCCCCAUCACUUGGCAGUCCCCUAGCUGAUCGACUUCCUUUGUGCUCACUAGGCCAUGGCAGAGACCCUCAACUGUGACCAGCCAAGUCAAAAACUUUCUCAUGAGCCUGGGACUGAACAUCCACAGGGUAGUCUAAGAUGUGACUAAGUCAAGUACAAUGGCCAUUUGCAGUAAUUCCUGAGAAAUAGCUCACCAGAAUCUAGAGCAAAAAAAGGAACCUCACCCCACAAGUAAGAAACCCCAGAACCUGAACAAGAAUUUGGAAAUCAAAUCUCUAAGGCAAAUCAACUUGGGCAGAAUCCACGAUCA